GGACCCGUAGCUCAGUUGGUUAGAGCGCUUCCUUGACAUGGAAGAGGUCACAAGUUCGAGUCUUGUCGGGUCCACCA
rnacentral:tRNA from 1 species